rnacentral:lncRNA from 1 species
UUGGUUCUAGCAGUGGUCAAUUUAGCUCAUUCUCCUACCUGUAAUCUAUGUAUCUAAUUGCUUGAUUGCUGAUAGUUAUGCUUAGGCACCAAGCAAAAUACUGUGUCAACAUUAAACUUGUUAAUUAUGAUAUGAGGGAUGAGAACUUUUGGGGUUCAGGUCUUGCUUAUCCGUGCAAACCGGGUUUGGGUUUGGGUUUGGGUUUGAUGGAAUAGUUGGGUUCCAGGUCCUUUUAGUUGCGUCAGGUUUAGGUGAAGUGAAAUUUAAGGGUGCUCCAUUUGCAUUAUAACAUGAAAAUGUUGGUAGAUUGUGUAUUUUGGAUAUAUCUAUGUCCAUCUGUUCGGUUUAAAGAAGAUUUCGUAGACCCUUUAAAUUCAUAUUGGGUAGUAUGGAUGAUUGGAAUUUUUUUUUUAGUUGAGAAAAAUGCUUCUUUUGGUAAGAAGAAACAUGAUGAAUUAAAAGUGAGUUGUUUUCUCCAUUAAUCUGACAAAGAUAAAAUGGCAACCUAUAAUAGCCUCUUGACAAAAAGGACCUUUGAGAACAAUCUUGACACUCGACAAAAAUGGACAGCUAGGUUAGGAGGAAAGAAGAAGAAGCAGAGAAGCGGAUCUUACAUGCGUGAGACUUUUAUCUUUUAUUGGGAACAUGAGUGAAAAAAAAAAAACCUUGAUAGAGGCCAAAUUCUAUCAUCUUUUACGACAAAUAUGAUUAAAAAAAUAUCUGAUCCAUUAAUCAAACUCGAGUAGAUGCACUAUCCAGUGGUCAUUAUUAUAACAGCAGGCAUUCUAAAUCGUUGAAUUAAAACCAUUACCAAAAUCUAAGACAAAUAUUUCAGAUACAAGUCAAUCUAGCUGUGUGAUCAAUCUUUUCCAAAAAAAAGGUUAUACAGAGAGAGGCAAGCAAGCGAGCAAACAUUGCCAUUACAACACAUAGAAUUUACAUUGACACACUAAUCGCUGAAUGAUAAAGGCAAGAAUAGCUGCACUUAUUUUAUGUUCUUGCACCUGAGCAAUUAUGCUAUGUAUGGUAGCACUGACAAUGUCCAUAGAUCCCUAAGGAUCCAUCCACCGAGAUCCUGUAUGCUAUGUGGCAAAUGCAAUAAAGCUUGCAGUGUGUAUCUUUGAUUUUUCUCGACAAUUGAGAGAAGAAUACGGAAAGAAGGCUCUAUUGCAUUUGUAGUCAAGCUUCAUUUCAAAUUGAUCGCUGCAGCCAUUUUCCUCAACUUCUGAGAUAUCACAGAGAAUGAAGGCCUCAAUGCUGGACCAGAAGACCAACAACUUUCCAUCAGGGACUUCCACUCAGGAUCACACCAAGUUGGAAUUUUAGGUCGUAUGGUGUUGUUUAUAAUGCCCCCUAGAAGAACAAAAUCAUACAAACAUUCCAUAUUAGCCUUAGAGAACUAAUGGAAAGUUUAAUACGUAAAUCAUGAAAAAUAAGCAAUAGAUACGUAUGUUUCAACGAGUUCUUUUUACUCAUUGGGAGUUCAAAGUCCCCUCUUUCAUAGUAACAUUUUUCUACUUCCACCUUUAGCCAAGUGUUCCAUCUCCCUAAAAUCUGUACCAUAGAUUUAGAAUCACUUUCCAGCUUGUAAAACUUAGACUGCACCAGAGUAUCCUUCAAUGCAGAAUAUUAAUAGGGUAAUUAUUUUCUUUGUCUAAAUGCUUCAUUUGGAAAAUGUUAAUACGGAAACAAAGAGCCAAGCCAACCACAUGAAAUAUUGAAAAUCAUGUUUCAAGCAGAAUUUUCAUCAUAUGUAGGUUGAUAAAUGCAAUAUAAUUUUGGAAUCAGGAUAUGUAGGUUGAUAAUAUUUAAUUCUCAUCAAAAAGACUUGCUAGAGCUGGCUCUCAACCAGCAUAGGUAGAGAUCUAAAAUGCUCAAGUAACUGCACUAAAGUACCCUUACUAGUCAAGUCUACAUAGAUGUUUCAGCUAUGAUUUUCCCAAAGGGCAAAUCCACUGCAUGAGAGUCUUGUCUAUUGAGGCUCACCCUCUUCUGAUAUAACUUUCCUAGCAAGAAAUAAACAUAGAAAUAAGAGCACCAAUUUUACCUGAACAAAACAAACACAUUGUAGUCAUGACAAAAUGACAGAUAUAGUAGAUUCUAAUGCUUUAGUAAAAGAUCCCAAUCCAUUAAAUCGUUGUUAUUAAAUAUUUUAUUUAAUAUCAUUAAAAUUCUUCAUUAUGGUUCAAACGUUAGAAAUUUGAAUUAAUUCUUGAACAUUAUGAGGUGAUAAUAAUAAAUGUUCUUGAUGGAAGAACAUCUAUAUAAACGAUGAUUUUGAUCCCUGAGCUCAACAUCUCUUUGAAGUCUUAAGGAUUUCCUACAUCAUCUAAAGCGAGAGUUUUGAGCCGAGAAAUACCAAACUAUCAAGUCGGCCAUUGUCACAUUGUGCUUUGCACAAUCUGAAUUUGUACUGUAAUAUGUAAAUUUUAAUAUAUAUUUUUAACUACCUCCACAAGUUUAACUGAAAGGUAUAGCAAUUUAUAUAAACUUAAAUAGCUAAGGCUAAGAUUUUGUUUAAACUUAAAUAGCUAAGGCUAAGAUUUUGUUUAAUGGUGCUUUCAUAUUGAUGCUGUGGCUUUCACUUUUGUUCUUGUUCAGUUAUUUUGGAGUUUGCUGAAGGAAAUAAUGUUCUUUGUUUGGUCUUUUUUGGAAUAAAUGGUGCCUUCAGGCAUAGGUGUCAAUCUUUAAAUUUGAAAUUAAAAUAGAAGUUACUACCUUAGAUCGACUUUUUGCAUCUUUUAGUUUAGCUAUAAAUUAGCUAUGGUAAAUGUUGGUGAACUCGCACACCGUGGCCGAGGAGUCAGCACGGCUUGGUUCACUAGCCGAUGUCCAGAAUCGUCGAGGCUCGGGAACACGUCCUUCUGUUGGUCGGGUUGGACCUGAAGUCGGGUUGAGCUUGAUGUCGAGCUAACAUGCUUUCGCCAAGGGUUUGAGCUGGCUCCAGAGUCGUCGUGCCCCUGCACAGGCCCGGGUCGGGGAGUUCCUGACUUCGGCCCCUCGUAGAUUAAGUGAGUGGUCCGGUGAUUUGCCUCUCAAAAGUUAUCCUUUGGCCAAAUGCUGGCCAAGGGCUUUUAUAUUAGUGCUCGAGGUUCGGCCGUAUGCAGGUUUCGCGUGGCGGUAGACUCACCGAGCGGCGGGUUCGUACGUGCAUUCGGCCGCCGCCCCGGUAUGUGCGGAACGACGCCUUACGGUGUCGUCCCGAGCUUUCCGGAGCGUGAUUUGUUGAGAGGACGCCUCCUUGCGCGUGCUUUUGUCGACGUGGGAGGAAUGUGGUCUUCGUGCUGAUUCUACAAAGAUGUGUCCGACGUGGCGCUCAACCCUCAUCCCAAGGCGCCACGUUUGUGCCUUACUGGCGGUGGAUUUGUCCUGUGGCCGAGAGCCAGAAUACGCCCUAUCAAAAGACUGGACCUGAUGGCCGAACUAUUGAACUCGGGCACAGGUUGGACUGAUGGGCCGAGUGGUUGCUCGACUAGCCGAGCUGCACGACUCGGGCAAAGACUGGACCUGAUGGCCGAGCUAUUGAACUCGGGUGAAGGUUGGACUGAUGGGCCGAGUGGCUGCUCGACUAGCCGAGCUGCACGACUCGGGCAAAGACUGGACCUGAUGGCCGAGCUAUUGAACUCGGGUGAAGGUUGGACUGAUAGGCCAACUGGCUGCUCGAUUGGUCGAGUUGCACGACUUAAGCAAAGACUGGACCUGAUAGUUGAGCUAUUGAACUCGGGCAUAGGUGGGACUAAUUGGCUGAGUGGCUGCUCGACUGGCUGAGCUACACGACUCGAGCAAAGACUGGACCUGAUGGCCAAGCUAUUGAACUCGGGAGCAAGUGGGACUGAUUGGCCGAGCUGCACGACCCGGGCAAAGACUGGACCUAAUGGCUGAGCUAUUUAACUCGGGUACAGGUGGGACUGAUUGGUCGAGUGGCUGCUCAACUGGCCGAGUUGCACGACUCAGGCAAAGACUGAACUUGAUGGUCGAGCUAUUGAACUCAGGCACAGGUUACACUGAUUGGCCGAGUGGCUGCUCGACUGGCCGAGCUGCACGACUCGGGCAAAGAUUGGACCUGAUGGCCGAGCUAUUGAACUCGGGCGCAGGUUGGACUGAUUGGCCGAGUGGCUGCUUGAUUGGUCGAGCUGCACGACUCGGGCAAAGACUGGACCUGAUGGCCGAGUUAUUGAACUCGGACGCAAGUUGGACUGAUGGGCCGAGUGGCUGCUCGACCGGCCGAGCUGCACAACUCGGGCAAAGACUGGACCUGAUGGCCAAGCUAGUGAACUCGGGCGUAGGUUGGACUGAUGGGCCAAGUGGCUGCUCGACUGGCCGAGCUGCACGACUCGGGCAAAAGAUUGGACCUGAUGGCCGAGCCAUUAAACUCGGGCGCAAGUUGGAUUGAUUGGCCGAGCGGCUGCUCGACUAGUGCCACGUGGCUGAGAUCGUCGGCACGUGAGUUCUUGCGGGAAACUUUAGGGGUCGUGUGGGUUCCGGCGGGAAGUUUUUUGUGACGCGUGAGUUUUUGGCAAGAAUUUGUAGUCGGUAAAUCUGGGGAGAUCCAGGGAGUUAUGCCAGGCUUAAAUGCUGCAACCAUAUUUUUCCUUGGGGAGCCCAAACAUCACCUCCAAGCGCCAACGUUCCCGCGAGGAAGACAAAAUCUCCCUCAAACGUUCCACGUUCUCAGUCUCCUCGUGAGAGAGAAAAGGAGGAACGUUAUUGAUGGCUCGGGAGCUCCAUCUGAUGUCGAACCCCCACCCCCAGCUACGACACAAAAAAAAUAUGGUUAGGCUCCCCGAGGAAAAAGGGAAGGCCCCGUCGCUACGAGGUGAUGUUUGGGCUACCCGAGAAAAAAGAUGGUUGCAACAUUUAAGCUCGGCAUAACUCCCCGGAUCUCCCCAGAUUUGCUGACUACAAAUUCCCCAAAUUUUCCACAUAGAGAGAGAAGGUCACUUGUAUCAGCAUUUACAAAGCUUUAGUUUUCUCAUCAUCAAUAAUUCAAUACGAUGGUAGACCCUGUAUACGGAAAGCUGCUACCAAAGACUUUACAUGCUUGUGUCAAAGGAAAACUCAACAGAGGUAAUUCUUGUAACCAGGGAUCUUUUGGAUAGCACAUGCUUCAAAUUAUCUAUGAAGGUUAUCCAAUAGGUAAUGCCACCAAAAUUCAUGGGGCAUGAGAUGAGGGCAUCAUAGAGUAUGAUAAUCAUCGAUUCAACUUGAUGACAUUGACCCAACCUAAUUCAUUUUUUGAGUCGCAUCUGGAAGAGGAAAGAUCGUUGAGUAUUUUGAACUUGGAAAAUGGAAGAAUUUUUUCGACAAAGGAAAACUCUCGUAUCUUAUCCCUUGUCUCACUUCAGUUGGAAGGCAAUAGAUGGUCGUACCAUAUAUCUCACUUCAUGCAAAAACUGCAUGCAAAAAGACAACAGUAAGAGUUUAUCUAGCAAAACCCCUUUAUUGGUCAAGUUAAUUUAUGUUGGAAGGCAUUAAAAACCUAUGAGUAUCCGUCUAGUAAGUUCUCAAUAAAAACAAGCCAUAGAAGGUCAUCAUUCUUGUAAUCGUUAGUUUAAUGAGGAAUUCAAUGUGUCAAGUCUUGAUUGACCAAAAAAAUUGGUCAUAUCAUUUAUCCCCCUUAUGCGUUACCGCAAGGGCUUCAAAUUUUUUUAUCCUAGGCGGAAAUAUCAUGUCUAAAUGGAAUGUUUUUAGAUGUGUAAGACGCUUUAGAUGAUUUUUUGUCCAAGGUGGUUGACACGUCGUGUGCAAAUGGAAUGCUUUCAGAUGUGUCGAAAGCUUUAAAAUAUGCUUUUUGUCCCAAAUGGAUGCAUCAUAUGCAAAUGGAAUGCUUUCGGAUGCUUUUGUAUUAGGCAAACAGACUACGUCUAAAUGGGAUGCUUUAAAAUGCCUUAAAAUCUUUAUAUGUUGUUUUUCUUGGGUGGAUGCAUCACACGUAAGGAUUUGGUCCGAUGUCAUAAGUAUAAAAGUGUCUUAUUUAUAUUUAUAUUGUCUCUUUAACACAAAUAAUGUAAUGUGUUGGUAAGGAGCCUCAUGCCUAAUAAAAAAAGUGAAGUGUUCAAUCCUUGAGGAGGUAAUACAAGCCUUUUUCCUUCUUUAAGGAAAUGGGACAUUGGACCAUUGGACCAGCCAACCUGGUUGCACAUUGGUCCAACCUAGUCAAGCUCAGUCCAUGUGGAGUUGGUCGGGCUAAAGUAACCUGACUUGAGCUUGUCGAAUGAUUUUGCAUGACAUAUGGCCUGGUUCAAAAUAUUUUAAUAUUUUAAUGUGCCUUUAUGUUUUUGAUUCCUUGACUCCCCAGAGUGGCCAUCCUUUUCGGACAAAAGAGUCGAGUGAUACUCUGACUUCUCUUCCUCCUUUGGCAAUGUCCAGGUGGUUGACCCAAAUGCUAAUAUGACUCUCGGCAAUAAAGGUUCUUUGUUCUCCAUGAGGUCUCGACAUAUUGGAAUAUCCCCGGAUUGCUAAUCUUAGACAGGUCAGUGAUGUUUCUUCAUUCUUAAAUGUACUCCCUUUUGUGUGUUUAUUUUGAUGCCUUCGAGACUGGCCUCCAAUUCCCUCUUCACCUCUUUUAUCUCGGAGUGCUUUCAUCAUUUGAGGAUUUCUAAUACAAAAUCAUGCCUAACUCUUGGCACUACCUUAUAGCCUUUAUCGAGAAAUGCUUUAAGAUGUAUCCGAGGGUUAAUAUUUCAACAGCCAAAGAGGGUUUUAGGGCAAGCGAGAUUUAGAUUUUAAUUUUAAAUGUGGUUUGACAGCUUAUCCGAAACCCAAAGCCUUUCUAACCACUAUGGAGAGUGCACAAGGACCGACUUGUCAGAUUCCCAUUAUCAUCUUCUAUCAAUUAUCCAAGUUUCUGAAUGCUAAUAGUGAUAUUUCAAUUCCCAGCUUCUUACAGAAGUUCCGAAGGGCUAUUUGCAGCAGAGACCGUGAAGAUGCAGCGUUCCAACAUCCUAGAUGUUUCAUGUAGAGUGCAAUGAUGGCACCUUCAAACCCAUUAUCUGAACUUGAUCUGGACCUGACUCGAACCCAAUGCAGGUCCAAAGUCCAAUCACAAUAGUUAUUCCAUCUAGUUUUGUUACAUGAAACUAGACGCUGACUCGAUUUAGUUUCUUUAUGUAAACUUUAAAAAAUAUAAAUAUUUGUAAUGGCAUUUGUUACCAUGCCAUUACAUUUCAGACAAUAUUUAUAGUGGAAUCUAAUCCUGAACCAAAAGGGAAUAUACCACCUGAUUGUGUGUAUGUAUGUUUUAAUAACAAGUACUUUAUGUACAUGUUAAAAGAAAAAAGAAAGGGGUUUCUGCAAAUUACUGAUAUAUAGCUGCAAAAGUCACAUAUUGUUAGAGUACUUGAAAAAGAAAAGCGCCACUGAACAAAUAAAAUUUCCAUUUGUGAAUUUGAAUCUCACGGAAAAAAUCACAUAUACAUUUGGGGAGAAUAAAUUUUCUAACCUGAUAUCAGGUCCACCUAUUUCUCAUGAAAGCCAAAGGCCAUAAAUUUAUGGAUUUAUAACCAAAGGGUUAUAAAUUACAAUUGGGGAGGAACUAGUGGCCACUGCAGUAAAUCCUCUGCUGCAAAGGCCAUGCUGGGUCUCAACCCCAGAAAGAUAUCUUCAGCUUACUAAUUUUUCCUUGUUGGUAGUAUGGUAUACAGUGGAAUUUACAGUAACUGUCCUUGUCUGUUAUUAGGCCAAAAUCUCCUGAAUAAAAUACCAAUCAUCUGGAUAGUUGUAGAUGAAAGCACGAAGCAUCGUGACAUGGCAAUAUCCCUUCCUACAACUUUGGAUAUAAGCUUCAUUGCAGAUUGGUGGUCAUUGCAGAUUCUUAGGCUCUUCAUAAUCCUUAAAAGUUUGUGUUCUCAGGAGUACUGAUCAACCAAAAAGCAACAAGUCCGUAGCCAUGACUACUGAGAAAUUGCUCUUUCAGAUCCUCGUCAUGGCCAAAACCUGCUUUUUUAUCUUCCAGAGCUUUAAAGCCAUCUGAAAUGUUGCAUCUCUCUGUGGGUGCAAUCAAUUGUCCAACCCAAAUACAUAAAUCUUAUUCAUUGUUUAUCCAGCUAAAUCCUUGCUCCUUUUUCACUCCUUUAUCCUUCAUUAGCUUCCAAAUCUUAGCAGCAUCAUCCCAUCUUCCACAUGCAGAAUAUACACUAGCAAGCACAGAAUAAGCACCACUGUUAUCAGGAUCAAUAGCCAGUAAUUUUUCUGCUGCAAUCUUCGCCAUGUUAGCAUCUUUAUGAACUUUACAAGCAGACAGAAGUGCCCCCCAUGCUAUAGCAUCUGCUUCCAUUGGCAUCAUGUUUAUAAACUCUUGGGCUUCCUGAAGUAAACCAGCACGUGCAAGCAUAUCAAUCAUGCAUGUAUGAUGGCUCUGUGUGGGUUGGAUCAUAUGUUUCGUCUGCAUCUGUCGAAAAUAAUGUUUCCCUUUUGCUACCAGUCCUGCAUGUGUACAAGCUGAAAUAACACCAACAUAUGUUAUAUCGUCAGGUCUCACACCUAUGUUGAUCAUCUUUUCAAACAAGCCUAUAGCUUCUUCUCCUAGUCCAUGUUGAGCCAAAGCUAUGAUCAUUGAAGUCCAUAAAAAAGUUUCCUUACUCUGACAAAUCUGAUUGAACACUCUCUUUGCUCCUGCGAUGCUUCCAGAUCUAGCAUACAUGGUAAUAAGGGAAUUGCUUACAGAAACUGACAGCCCCUCUGAUCUGAUAGCUUUACAAUGAAUCUGCUUGCCUUGAUCCAAGGAUGUCCAGCUGGAACAAGCCUUCAGCAUUGCGGCCAGAGUGUAACUGUUCGGCUUAGGACCUUUGUCAAUCAUCAACCUAAAAAGUUCCAUAGCUUCACUAUUUAAACCAUUUUGCACGUACCCCACAAUCAUAGCUGUCCAAGCAAUAACAUCAUGAUACUUCAUUGAGUCAAAGAUUUCUCUAGCUGGUUGCAAGUCUCCAAGCUUAACAUAACCCUCAAGGAGUGAAGUAAAGGCUAUUACAUUGAGAUCAGAAACCAUGGUUUGUUUGAAGACCCUUCGAGCCAUUUCAACCCCACCGGACUUGGAGUACAUUGAGAUCAAAGCAUUCCUAACCUGCCCAUGACAUGGAACUGCAGUUCUUAAGAUGUGCGAAUGAAUCUGCUUUCCCAGUUCCAGUUUCCCAAGGUAAGCACAAGCAGCUAGAGCACUGGUUAACGUGAAAUUAUCAGGGACUGCAGAUUGAUCAUUAAGCAUCCUCGAGAACAACUCCAGUGCCUCCUUAUUCAAGUUAUUCUGAUUGUACCCUGCAAUGAUUGCACUCCAAGAAACAAUAUUAUGGUCAGUCAUUUCCUCAAAUUUUUCCCGAGCAAGAUCCAUCCUUCCAGACUGAGAAAACAAGGAAAUCAUAGAAUUCCAACUCGAUACACUCCUCAGUGUCAUCCCAUUGAAAACAGCCUUUGCGGUAUCUACAUCACCGGACUUUCCAUACAUGUUGAUAAGGGAAUUGGCGAUAGAAACAACACCACCAAGCCCGAGCUUAACCACAAAAGAAUGCACCUCCUUACCGAAAUCCAACGCCUCAAGGGCCGCACAUGAAGAAAGCACAUUGGUUAAUAUGAACCGUGAUGGCGGAGCCCUGAUCCGAAUCAUGUCAGAAAACAUGCAAACCGCCCGUUCAAAUUGACCCAUUAGAUUCAGUCCAACAAUCAUUGUGGUCCAAGAAACCGAGUCCUUUUGGGGCAUUUUAUCGAACAUAUUGUUCGCCAUGCGAAUCAUUCGAUGUUUUGCAUACAUAGACAAGACCGUAUUCCACGAGAAUGCGUCCUUGAUGGGCAUCUCAUCGAAAACAUGGUGGGCAUCUUCGAAAAUCCCAAACUUGGCGUAAAGGCAUAUGAGAUUGUUGGCAAGGUAGAUACCAAGUUGGAGCCCGGCUUUGAUGACAUGGGCGUGGAUGGAUCUCCCCACGGAGAGGUUCUCCGUCCGUAGGCACGUCUGAAGGGCAGAAGCAUAGAAGUCAGCAGGCGAUGGCUGGGAAGGGAUCGAUUGAAGCAGAUUGAGAGACAUUUGGGCUGAGAAGCACAUGAAGAGAAGAAGCGCGAGAUCACAUAUGAGCGCGGCUUCAGUCCUUACGAAUAUAUAUAUNNNNNNNNNNNNNNNNNNNNAAGUCAUUCAGCUGAUCCAAAAUUUAAACCGGUCGAAAAUAAAUAAAAAAUAAUGAAUUAAAUAAUAUUUAUAUAUAAUUUAAAUAUUAUAAAACAAAAAAUAAUGAUAAAUUAAUAACAAUAUUACAACUUUGUAAUUUCAUCUUAAAUUAGUCAAAAAUUUAAAAAAUAAAAUACCUUAACCUUUUAAAAGUUAAAUUAAUCAAAAAUAUAUCUUUUAAUUACUAAAAAUAGAAAAUGGGUGAUUAAGGAUUCAUUAUAUAUUUAUAAUAUUUCUUAAAAACAAAAUUUUAAAUAAAAUGAACCUAAGUUACAUUGUUUGUGAAUAUUGUUACACUGUUGGUCUAAAUUCACCUUAAAUCGGUAGAAAUAAGAAAAUGGGAAAAUUUGAACUUUUUAAAGGGUUGAAUAUAUUCAAAAUAGAUCUUUAAAAGUGUAAAAAAAAAAGAAGAUCAUUUAUGCCUUCUUAAGACAUUUAUAAGGUUUCAAGAAACUUCUGGCAAAAAAAAAUUAUAACUUCAAGGGUGAUUUCCUUAAAACAUCUCUCUUUUUUUAUUUUUGCCUUAAAAGGCACCCCUAUUUUUCUUUUUCCCAGUGACUCUUCAAAUAAUAUCUAGAAUACCCCUUGCCAAUGGUAAUGAUACUUUUUCCACCCAUUUUUUCGUUAGUUUUGAACCAUUUAUAAUAUUUUUAUUUAGCUCAUUUAUAAUAUUUGUCAAUAAAAUAUUUACGGUAUUUUUAUUAAGGUACUAAAUACACUAUAAAGCUAUUAAAAAAAUACUAUAAGUUAUAUUAUAUUGUGCAUCUUUAGUUAUCAUUGCUUGUAGAUCAUUACCAUACUAUAUUUUCAGGCUUGUAGUUAAUUUAAUUGAGAUUAAGAGUUCAUUUGGAUCAUGUUUUCAAGUGGGUCUAUGGCGUUUUUGUCAUGAUGGUCAGACCGAAUUUUGAUCCCUAUUUGGGUUUGGGUGAUAUUAUUUCUAAAUUAUUAUAAAUAUAUAUUUGAAUUCUAGUAAGCUAUAUAGUUUCUAGUUGUUUUGAUUUUAUUUGAUUUACUUAUAGUAUUUUCUAAUAACAUUAUAAUAUUUUUAAUUGAUGUAGUGAAAAUAUUUUAAACUAUUGAAAAAUAUUAUAAAUUAUAUCAUAUUGUGUCCGUUUUAGUUGUCAUUGUUCAAAGACCAUUAUGAAACCAAAUUUUUAGAUUUGAAGUUGAUCUGAUUCAAGUUAUAGGUUCAUUUGUAUUAUUUAUAAUAUUUUCAAGAAGUCUUGUGAGAAUUAUAUUUAGGUAAUUCAAAUGGCAUGACAUGCUCUUUGUUUUAUUAUUCCAUAUUUUAAUGUUGCAAACACAUGCUUUUAACUCUUGACAAUGUGAAUUUUCAUAUCUUGUGAUGCAAAAAUUGAAGUAUCAACUAGAAAAGCCUAUAUGAUUAGAAUUAAGAUCUCACAGCAACAGCAUAGUUUACAUCUUUAUCUUAGCAUAAGAACUUUGUAUCUUAAUCAUUGUUUAAUCAUCAUAGUUUCCUUUUUUAAUGAAAUUUUGACUAUGUUGUUUACUGCCGCCACAGUGAUCCUGGAAAUGUUUAUGGCAGAUUGAAGGAAAAACUGGACUGCUGAACUGUGUUCACUGCAAACAGCUAAGAAACCAUUAAAACAAAGACAAGAUCCACAUUGUUUAUGAAAUCUUCAUCUUCUACUGAUUCAAAUACACGUGAACUUUGACCCUUAUCAAGAUUACAAAUGUUUAGCCGGCAAUCAUAUACUUUUCCCAACAAUUACGUACAAACAAGAACAACUCCUUAAGACCUCAUCUGGCCAUGUCCAAUGUACAGUUCGGAGGAAAAGACAAUGAUGCUUGUAAAAUAUCAAUCUUAUCUAUCUAGCCUUGUGGUGAGGAGAUAGGAAACUUCUUGCAGGAGUUGUGUUGAGAUCAUGAGUAUGUUUUAGUCAAAGGUUUGCAGAAAUAAAUUAUUUGUUAGAACAAAUAAUUCUUUGGACUGUAUUGAGUGUCUUAUGCGAUUCCAAUGACUCGUGGAAUUCUCAACGCUUUGAUCUAAACAUUCAACACCUUGGAUCACCUCAAACUUACUCCUUUAAACGAGGGAAAGAGCAUGCAUGAAGGAAGACAAAGAGAAGCACACUUCUUCGCUUUCCAUGGACGCUUCUCGUCUCUGCAACUCCAUCACCCUGCAGAUGAGUGCAGCGUCGUCCGCCGGGAGGCGUUGCAACAGCAGCAGCUUCACGUGCAGAGCUCAUCAGGCGAGGAUGGGAAGGCCUGCAGCAGCCAAUUUCUACCAAGUCCUCGCGCUCGAACCGGAGAACGCCGGGGCUGAUGCCGUCAAGAGAGCAUACCGAAGCCUGGCGCUUCGCCACCACCCUGAUGUCUGCCCACCGUCGGGGAAGGAGGAGGCGACGAGGACGUUCGUCGAGAUCCAGAGGGCUUACGAGAUCCUCUCCGAUCCAGUUCUACGCGAGGAGUAUGAUCAUCAGUUGGGGUUGGUUGGUUCAGCUAAGCAAAGAGACCAAAUAGAUGAAGAACGAAGAAGAGUGUAUCCUAAAGAAGUGUGGAUGGAGCAGCUCAGGGAGCUCAAAUCUAGGUCAAUGAGUCGCAUGGGAAAGAAGAAACUGGAGUGCCUGUAAAGACGCACAAAAUGGUAGUGAUCUUUCGGCAAGUUGUAGUGUUCAGAGAUAAGUAAAUGAAGGUGAUAUAUAAUUCCUCUGAGAGAACUUUAAAGCUGCAUUGUGACUUCCUCUUUGAUUCCACGAUAUAUACAUACAUUAGUGCUCGACACAGAAUAUGCACAAUCCUCAUAAACAAAUUAUGAGGGUUUUGGACAAACUGUAUUCUCAUGAUGUUUCUAUCACAUCUCACAUUUUUCUAGAAGGAUUUUGAUCAAAACGAUUUAAUGUUAUUAUAAGAUCGAGGAGUUGCUUAGAAACUUCCUUUCUCGUCUUCUUUAGAGGUAUUCAUCAGGUACUUUAAAGUUCACCUUUUGAUAGCCGACCUGUUCUUUUUUGCUUCGUAUAAUCUUCUCCUUUAAGCUCAUCAGGCACAACGACCCUAAGGUGACUGGGUGAUAAGACUGGGUUGGAUGAUAAAUACUUCAGAUGAUUACCUCGGGAUAACAUAUAUCUACAGGUACUUCGACUCCUCCCAAGUGAAUAAAAUGCAGUGUCCACCUGAGGCAGAUAUCUACCGAGUGUAUUAUUGAGCAGUUCCUUUUCAUUAGUCAGCGACAUAUACAUAUACUUAUUUGUAAGUAAAAAUCUAUGAUUAUAUUAUUAUUAUAUAUAAAAAUUAAUAUAAAAUAUUAAAAUAUAGAUCAAAUUUACUAUACUUAUUUUUUUUAUGUUAUUUAAAAAAUUAUAAUGAUAACGAUCUAUAAGGAAAACUAGACUCAUCUUCUCCUCUCUUUUUAUCCUAUCGCUAAUAUCAUUAUUAGCAAUCGAUUAUAGACUAAAGAGAGAUGGGAAAAUAUUUAUAAUCUCUCAAUAAUUUUUUUUGUCAUUGGGAGGUCUUGUAAUUUUCUAUAGGUGAUAACAGAAGGUCAUGCAACUCGGCCCAUCAGUCCAACCUGCGUCCGAGUUCAAUAGCUCAGCCAUCAGGUUCAGUCUUUGCCCGAGUCAUACAACUUGGCCAGUCGAGCAGCCACUUGGCCCAUCGGUCCAACCUACGCUCGAGUUCAAUAGCUUGGUCAUCAGGUCCAGUCUUUGCCCAAGUCGUGUAGCUCGGCCAUUAGGUCCAGUCUUUGCCCAAGUCAUGCAGCUCGACCAGUCAAGCAGCCACUCGGCCAAUCAGUCCCACCUACACCCGAGUUUAAUAGCUCAACCAUCAGGUCUAGUCUUUGCCUGAGUCGUGCAGCUCGGCUAGUCGAGCAGCCACUCGGCCAAUCAGUCCCACUUGCGCUCGAGCUCAAUAGCUCGGUCAUUAGGUCUAGUCUUUGCCCGAGUCAUGUAGCUCGGCCAAUCGAGCAACCACUCAGCCAAUCAGUCUCAUCUGCGCACGAGUUCAAUAGCUCAACCAUCAGGUCCAGUCUUUGCCCAAGUAUUGCAGCUCGGCUAGUCGAGUAGCUACUCGGCCAAUCAGUACCACCUGCGCCCGAAUUCAAUAGCUCAGCCAACAGGUUCAGUCUUUACUCAAGUCGUGCAGCUUGACCAGUUAAGCAGCCAUUCGGCUCAUCAGUCCAACCUACGCCCGAGUUCAAUAGCUCGACCAUCAGGUCCAGUCUUUGCUCGAGUCGUGCAGCUUAACCAAUCGAGCAGCCACUCAGCCCAUCAAUCCAACCUACACCCGAGUUCAAUAGCUCGACCAUCAAGUCCAAUCUUUUGAUAUGGUAUAUUUUGGCUCUCAGCCACAGGACAAAUCCACCUCCAGCAAGGUGCAAACAUGGUGCCUUGGGAUGAGGGUCGAGCACCACGUCGGACACAUCUAUGUAGAAUCAACACGAAGACCACGUUCCUCCCACGUCGACGGAAGCACACGCAAGGAGGCGUCCUCACAGCAAAUCACGCUCCGAAAAGCUCGGGAUGGCACCACAGGGCGCUAUUCCGCACAUACUGGGGCAGCGGUCGAAUGUAGGUACGAACCCACCGCUCGGGGAGUCGACCGCUGUGUGAAAGCUAUAUACGGUUGACCCUCGAGCAUCAAUAUAAAAGCCCUUGGCCAGCAUUUGGCCAAAGGACGACUUUUGAGAGACAAAUCAUCGGACCACUCACUUAAUCUAUGAGGGGCCAAAGUCGAGAACCCAUCGACCCAGGCCUGUGUGCAGGGGCACAGCAACUCCGGAGCCAACUCAAACCCUCGGCGAAAGCGCGUCCAACCCAACAUCAAGCGCAACCCAACUUCAGUUCGACUUGACCAACAGAAGGAUGUGUUCCCGAGCCUUAAUGAUUCCGGACAUCGGUUAGUGGACCAAGUCGUGCUAACUCUUCGGCCACGAUGUGCGAGUUCACCGAAGACCCAUCGGUGACCCACCUUCCUUUCGGACCUGGAGAGCAGCCCAUCCCCCCCCCCCCGGGAAAUGCUUUACUCAUUUUGCCUGAGGUGUUCCUCUGCUAAAACAAGUAGUGGGGAUAAUGAAGACGGCCGCCCCGCUCAUCCCACAAAAAACAUAUUUGAAGCUUUCGACACAUCUGAAAGCAUUCCAUUUGUGCACGACGCAUCAACCACCUUAGGACAAAAAAAUCAUCUAAAGCUUUUUACAUAUCUUAAAGCAUUCCAUUUAUACAUGAUGUUUCCGCCUAGGAUAAAAAACAUUUAAAGCCCUUGCUGCAAAGCAUAAGGGGGACAAAUGAUAGGAUCAAUUUUUUGGUCAAUCAAGACUCGACACAUUGAAUUCCUCAUUAAACUAAUGAUUACAAGAAUGAUGACCUUCUCCGGCAUGUUUUUAUUAUGUUUUUAUUGGGGACUUACUAAACGGAUACUCAUAGGUUUUUAAUGCGUUCCUACAGAAGUUAUCUUGACCAAUAAAGGGGUUUUGCUAGAUAAACUCUUCAUGUAGUCUUUUUGCAUGCAGUUUUUGCAUGAAGUGAGAUAUAUGGUACGAGCAUCUUUUUUACCUUCCAACUGAAGUGAGACAAGGGAUAAGAAACGAGAGUUUUCCUUUGUUGAAAAAGUUCUUCCAUUUUAAAUACUCAAUGAUCUUCCAAUUCUACUCAAAAAACGAAUUAGCAAAAAACGAAUUAGGUUGGGUCAAUAUCAUCAAGUCAAAUCGAUGAUUAUCAGACUCUAUGAUGCCCUCAUCUCAUGCCCGUGAAUUUUGAUGGCAUUAUCUAUUGGAUAGCCUUCAUAGAUAAUUUGAAGCAUGUUCUAUCCAAAAGCAUGCAAAGUCUUUGGUAACAGCCUUCCGUAUAAAGUUUGAUCCAUGACUUAAUAACUUAAACUUUUAUGUUGAGUUGAUGUUCGUGACAUAUGUUAAUCUUGAUCAGUUAAAUUAAGAGUUAUUACUAUUUGAUUUUUGUAUAAUGUAUUAUUGUAUAAAAUUUGAUAUGAAUGCGUGAAAAAAAAGAUUGAGUCAGUGAUUUGACUGAAUGAAAAUUUUCAUAUGCUACACUACGAUGGGUAGACGAGAAUGAGUAAAGAUAUACCAUAUUAUGAUCCAUAGAUGUAGAUGAGUAAAUCAUCGGUGUAAAGUAACGCCAAAAUAUAAAGUAAUACUAAAACUCGACAAUCUAUGGGAAGCAGAGAGAUGUUCAUAUAAUAACUUCGAAUAAAAUAAUUUAAUAAGAGGUAAAAUCGGAAGGUGCCAUCAGCGUUGCUAACUACUAAAAUUUUAAAUAUAAAAACCCAAACUUCUAAAAUUUUAAAUCCUCUAUUUUUAUUUGGUCUAAGGAAAAUAUCCAUCUCAUUUAUAUAAUUAACUUAUAUUUGUUGACAUAAAAUAUGCAUUACUAUUUUAAGGAAUAUUUUGUAAUCUUAAAAUAUAGAAAUUAUUUUUCAUUGGUAAUUAUUUUGACUCGGAAAUUUCAUUUUUUUAGCUUUCAAUAAACAGAAAAAUCAAGGAUUUUGGAUCAUUGCUCCCUCAAUGUAUUGUGAUGAGGCCGUCAGUAACUCCAAAAGAAUCAUAAACCACCUAAAAGAAUAAUUUUUCUUCUUCUUUUCUUGCGUUUUCUUUAUGUUUCUGAUCAAAAUAACAGUACUUUUCUUACUCUCGACUGCUUAACCGUCCUGCGUAAUGACCUUGAGGUUUAUUGUUGUGGCCCACUGACAACUCCAGUAAAAAGCCAGGUAUAUCUGGAGUAGCAAAAGGCGGGGUAGGAAAAGCGAGAUUUUUGGGUGUGUACAUGUAAUCUGAGCUAAUAGCUCGGCGUACCGGCUCGGCGUGAAUCCUAAGCGACGCGGCUUGACUCUUUCGCUUCAAAUCAACGGCCGAUCAUCACCGAUGAUUGUCGCUCGCACAUUCAUGACCCUCGGAUGUGUGUUCCGCCACACGGAUCAUAUUAGCCUAUUUAUAGGUCCUCUCUCUCUCUCUCUCUUCACCGUCGUCGUCUCUUCUUCACUUAUUCUCGAACUCUCUGUCUCGCGGGCUAAGAAAUCCUUUGUAGAAGAAAGAAACUCGCGGUGGGUCUCUUCUGCUCCGUUUUCUUUCUUCCCCGUUUUUCGACGCUUGGAUUUUGUUGCGAUCUUUAGGGUUUAUGUCGCGAUCAGCUGUGUUGUUUCUGUUUCUUCUUUUAAGUCCCUAUUUCUUCUUUGAUGCGAUGGCAUUGCGGAUCAUUUCAUCAUCUGGAAGUGACCUCGGGACCAUGUAUUGCCGAGUUGAAAACAAAAAUCUGUUUUUCCCGUGCGGGGUCUGUUCUUUUUUGGCGCUUGGUGUUGCCUCCACGCCAAUCGGGACCGGGUUAAUGAUUUAGAAAAUUUCUUCGUCGAGAAUUUUGUGUUCUAUAAACAAAUCGUCGUUACCAUUGGUUCCGUUGCGUUGUUUUGUGUCGAAUCAUUGUCUAUUUCUCUCUAGGGUUUUUGGAGUUGAUUAAGGGGUGAAGGAGAUGGCGAGCUUCGGUGGUCUUAACACAGCUGCGGCGGGAAAUGUGAACCCUAACAAGUCACUGGAGGUACAAGGCUCUGCAUCACUCUUUUCAUUGCCUCAUCGGAAACCAUUCUUCCAUUCCUUUUCCGUUGUUAAAACAUAGAGAUACCAGUAGAAACGUUAGUAAGAGUUGUUUAUUGACUUUUGCCUCCGUUGUAGCUUAGUGAUGGUUUUUAUUGUCGCUACAGGUGCUUCCUUCCCCGAGUGAUUCGGUUUCUAGCCUUAGCUUCAGUCCCAAGGGAAAUUACCUGGUUGCUACUUCUUGGGAUAAUCAGGUCAUUCCAAUCGAUUUCAAACUUUCUAUUGAGAAAGAUCCUCCAUUUUUCUUGGACUUUACGUUCAUAGUAUCUUUUUCUCUUCCAUUUUGUUGAUGUACAGGUUAGGUGUUGGGAGAUUAUGGCUGGCAGCAGUCAACCUAAGGCAUCAAUAUCACAUGAUCAUCCAGUAUGUUGAUGGUUUUUUAGCUUUCCUCUGCCAGUAAACAGUUGUUGCGUCAUGAAGUCACUAUUUUCUUUGUUUGCUAACAAAUGAAUUUUCUACAUCAGGUCUUGUGCUCGACUUGGAAGGAUGAUGGGACAACUGUGUUUUCAGGAGGCUGCGAUAAGACAGUCAAAAUGUGGCCUCUGAUGUCUGGUGGGCAACCUACUACAGUUGCUGCACAUGAUGCACCUGUUAAAGAAAUUGCCUGGAUACAACAGAUGAAUCUCUUAGUUACAGGGAGCUGGGACAAGACACUCAGGCAUGCAACCCUGAUUACAAUAAAGUGGUGCCGUUUCAUGUCUAGUAAUUUUGCUAGUUAAUGUUCAACAUGGAAUGCACAAUUAUAAGUUCUUAUGAAGAUGUCCAUUUUAUUAAAUAAACGAAGUUGUUCCUGAUAUGUAUACAUAUUUAAUUGCUUUAAUUAGCUGUUAUGGGAAUUGAAAGAUAUGAUUCAGAACUUUAACUGCUUCAGAAGUGAGUAGCAAUUUGAAAGAUAUGAUUCAAAAACUAGUUAUUCAUCUUGACUACUACAAGGGGAACUCUGAACUUGAGUUUCAGUGACAGAAGUUUUAUAUGUCAAGGGAAUGUCAACAUGGAAUGCACAAUUGCAAGUUCCCAAGGAGAUGACAUACAUUAGUAGGAGAUCCAUUUUAUUUAAUUGGUGAGGUUGUCUCUGAUAUGUAUAUUUAAUAGUUUCAGAACUUUAUGUUGUUUAUGUGAGUAGGAAUUUUCAAAGAUAUGAUUUGAAAGCUAGUUCCUCAUCUUGAUACCUGCAAAAAGAACACUAGAUUUGACUUUCAGAAAUAAAGGUUUUAGCUGUCAAGCGAAUGUUAACAUGGAAUGCACAAUUACAAGUUCAAAAAUUAGUAGGGGGUCCAUUUUUCUUUAAUUUCUAAGGUUGUUCCUGAUAUUUAAUUAUGUAUAUGGGUUUAAUUGUUUCAGAACAUAAUGUUGUUAAUUUGAGUGGCAAUUUUUAAAGAUAUGAUAUAAAAGCUAGUUCCUCAUCUUUAUACCUGCAAAAGUAACUCCAGACUUUUGUUAAGAUUUUAUUAUUUAACUGAAACUAUUAUCUUCAAUCUUUACUGGUAUUUUUCAUGACCAGUAUGGUAUUUUGACAUGUUCUUGCAGAAAAAUAAUAAUCAUCAAAUACUUUGAGGAUUACAGAAGUAGGAUUAAGCAUUUAUUUGUAAAUCUGUAGGUGCUUUUCUGAUUAUGAUGCAAUUAUUCUUUCUAAUGCCACUUCCAUUAGUUGUUUUGUAUGCAGCUAAAGUGGCCUAAUAUGCAGCUAUGCAUGUUUUCAUAUGACCACCUAAAAUAUGUUUUAUGCAACCUCAUUACUUUAUAUAUAAAAUCUAUUGCAUACAUGUUGUCGACAUAAGCGUGAGAAUAUGAUCAUGUGAUUUAUAUUUUCUUCAAUAUUGCUCCUACUAUUACUAUUAUAUUGGAAAUUAGGAACUAUAAUCAUAUAAUGUAUGACCCAUGAUUGACAUUUUAUCACUUGAACCUUUUCUCUUUAUUGGUUUCUUAAAACUUACCACCUGAAUAAUACUCAAGUUGUAAUUAAUGUCAUCCUGUCCCUGAUUCAAUUUGAUGCUCUUCUAUAUUAGUUCAUGCUAAGUUUGUUGAAUUUUCUGCAAGAUUUACUUUAUAAUCUCAUUCUUGUCCUAUAAAACAUGUAAUCAGAUACUGGGAUACUAGACAAGCCCAACCAGUUCAUACCCAGCAGCUUCCUGAGCGUUGCUAUGCUCUGACAGUGCAGUAUCCUCUGAUGGUUGUUGGAACUGCUGAUCGACAGCUACAAAUUUUUAACUUGCAAAACCCUCAGGUGAUUCUUCUUUAUUCUGUGUUUCAGGAUGAAUGUGUUUGUUCAUUAUAAUUAACAUAUGCAUAUGACAUGAUAGAUCUGUAUCUUUUACCAUGACCCUCAAGUAAAUGCCAAAUUGCUGAGUUAAAAGCUCAUAUUCAUUGGCCAAACCUAAGCUACAGGUCUAAAUCUGAUACUAUUCAUAAAACCUAUAUCUUUCUUCCUAUUUAAUAACUUCAUAUUGAAUUGCAAAUUUGCAAAUUACCUAUUUCCCUAAACAUGUUUUGGCUACUCUGUGGCAUGUGGUUCAGCAUUUGGUAUUCUACUCUAUAUUCGGAGUAUGUGACCACAUGUGCAGGUCACAUGAAUAUGAAACUUAGGUGCACUGGUGGACUCUGUUUUGUCUUGAUUAUUACUGCUUGUGUUGUUACAUUGCUUGAUUACUAUGAUAUGUGGUCUGCGACUUUGUGAUUACUAUUACAUUAGUAACUUACAAAUUUUCAUGUUUCUUAGAAUUUAUAACUUAAAAUUGUUCUUAAAUGAGUACAAGUGUGAUCCAAUAAAUUCUUGGUUUUUGUAGAUUACAUUUUUGCCUAUUAAUAAUUUAAACUUGUUAAUUGUUCUUUAUAACUUAGCUAUAUACUGAUUUGAACAUUCUAAUAUGAACCACAUAUUUAAUAUGUGUCUUAUACUAUUCCAAAAACAAAGGUCGCAAACUGCACGUAAAUUAUGUGGCAACCUUGUUUUUCCACAUAGUUCAGAUUUGAAGAUUCUAAUAUGAACCACAUAUAUGUCUAAUAUGUGGUCUUAUUACUAUUCCAAAAUCAGAAGUUGCAAAAUUGUGUAUGAAUUAUGUGGUAAUCUUGACUUCCCACGUAGCUCAGCUGCUUUUUAGAACAUAGUCUAUGUUAGCCAUACCCUAUGUGUGAUGCCUCAAGAUGCAUGGGUAUCACUAUAGGAGCUGUAAUAUCCUCAAUUAAAACCCAUGGUUGAAACAGUAGCAUUGUUAUUCUUUUUCCCCUAAGACUAAGAUGACAUGUACUUUCAAGAGAACCAUAUAUAGGGAACUGAAGGUGCUGUUAACAUGCAUUGCUUAACUGGCAUGUUAGUUUUAGGCUGGUUCAAAGUAUGCUAGUGGAUAUUUUCAAAUCAAAUCACCUAUUGAGCUUCUUUACAAUGAAUUAUUUUAUUGUUUAUUACUUAUUAGCAAUCCCAGUGCCAAAUUUCUUUCAUAUAUACUCUUCAUCUGCGCUGUUGAAACUUGCACAGGAAGGUUCAUGUUGAUAUUUGCUUUUGUACUAUUAACAGACAGUAUUCAAGACCAUAACAUCACCUUUGAAGUAUCAAACAAGAUGCCUUGCUGCAUUUCCUGAUCAACAAGGGUUUCUGGUAAUGUUUCACUAGAAGUGUUAGCAUAUGGGUCCAUUUUCUCCUUGCCAUUUAUGCUUAUUUUACUUUUUUAAUUUGUAAUGCUUAUUUUUGUUCCCCUUUCCACACAAAAAGAAAAAGGUUCAGUCACCUUUGUUAUUUUGCCAAUGUCAUCCGUGGCAAAGACCCCAUUGCUUGUCCAAGCUCACAAUUGCAUGAAAAGGAAUGAUUUUUUGCUUGUUGCUUUGUGCUGAUCAAGUGACAUAAGGACCUCACUGUGAUCUUUGGCUCAGGAGUAUGUGAAUUGCAACCAUGUUUAGUGUAAAGAUUCAGAGGAACUUGUGUUAACCCUGUUUCUUAAUAAUUAAAAAAAAACAGGUCUUAAAAAUUUAUCCGCUGCAAUCUGAUUUCAAUUAUUCAUGUUAAUUUUGUAUUCUCAUGAAAACAAUGUUGCCUACUCUGUUAGUAGGAUGAGGAAGUCCAUAACCUUCAUUUAUUUUGGAUAUAAUAUUAAAGUUGAUUGCAGUGUGGUGUUACAGUUUUUGCAUUGUUAAAAGAAUACUGAAAAUGAACAAUAGGUUUCCUGAGGCACUUCUCUUAUUAAUUUGUUCUGGGAUAUUGUUUCAACUAACACUACAUUUUCUCAUGUAUUAGACUCUUGAAAUAUAUGGCCUGACCUGUAGAACCUAUUGGAGCUGGAAUCAGGGGUCCUGGAAUUAAUAGACUUCUGAUUGGACCCCAAGUGAAUAGACAAUGAACACAAAUCAUCUCAUGUCUGUUUUGUUGUUGGUUUCCGCAAAAUAAAAUGUGGCAUGAUCCGUUAGCCUCAUUUCUUGCACCAAGUAGCAGCAAAAAGGCCAUGCUAAUAUGGAAAUGAAACACUGAGAAUCAUCUUUGAGGAACUAAAAAUGGAAAUAUAUAUUGCUGAAAUUUGUCUGUCAUAUGAUACCAUUUUUCUUAUGCUGUUUUUGCUAGCAUUAGGGAACUGUUUUAACGUGCCUACAACUGUGCUCAGAGAGUGUAGUCCUAAAAGAAUUGCCCCUUUUUCCAGUUAUUUGUCUUUAUUCUAUAUUUUUUAGGACAAUAAGCACCUUGUAUACUCUUUCAUAUUUUCUGACAGACUUCCUGUCUUAUUGUAGGUUUUCUCAAAAAAAAAAAAAUUCAUAUAAUCAAUCCUGAAACUUUGUCCGCUAUGUUAUUUAUCUGAGUAUAUUUUUGUAUUUAUUCUCCACAAUCAAUUUUUCUCAAUCUAAGCAAACUAUCCCAAGCUUGAAAGCCUAGUGGACUAGGAGAGGGGGGAGGGUGCGGGGUUGGUGUUUGCGGGGACGGGUUGGGUUUAAGUAUUAGGAUUUUUUUAUUAGGGCAAAAACAUAAAAUGAAAAAACUAGCUUACUAGGCAGUCAGCCUAUUUGCAUGUGGGCCAUCCAAAUUGGGUGGUUUUUGCUCGGACCAAUAUGUAUUGCCUGUUAAACAUUGUUUUUGGCAUAUUAGCUUUCAUUUGGCUUUUGGCUCCUAUAUGGAGGAUUGAUGUAUUAUUACCAAAGAAUAAUUAGAUCCAUAACAUCUAUCUUUAACUUUGUCUGAAUGCAUCAAGAACAACUUGGUUUGCAAUGUUUUUACUGUUUUGUGAAUGUGAUUGAUUUAAUUUUGGUAGAUUUUUACUAAAUCCUUUAUUUUUUGGCGUAUGCUCUUGAAGGUGGGAUCCAUAGAAGGAAGGGUGGGUGUACACCAUCUUGAUGAUGCACAGCAAAGUAAAAACUUCACAUUCAAAUGCCACAGAGAAGGAAAUGAAAUUUAUUCUGUGAAUUCAAUGAACUUCCAUCCUGUAAGAUUCUACAUUUGCUUUCCCUGUUUCUUGUUACACUACUACAUCUCUGCUAUGCAAAGUGUAAAAGAGAUUUGGUUAAUAAGCAGUAUCAGUCAUCAAGGUUUCAUGAUUUUCUUUAAUAAGUAGUAUCAGUGACAAAGGUACAUGAUUUUCUUUAAUAAGUCCUUUUAGUUUGAUUUUCUAAACUUUUAAUUUAUGCUGUCACUUUUCAUUUGUUUUAUAACUAAUGUUGAAAAUUAACAAUGGAUCUUGACUUUUCCAAUUUAACAAUGAAUCUUGGCUUUCUGAUGGUACUCAGUUUUUGCUGCAACAAUGAUUUGCCCGUUAGUGUAGUCAUUGUCUGAUAUACUCAUCUGAAGCAGUUACAUACAUGGAAAAAGACAUUAUUAUCUUUUUCAAUACAUGGAAAAAUAGGUAGUAAGUAAUGGACAGCAAAAUUGUAGGCAAUGAUUUCAAUAGGCGCUCGGGCGAGGCGAGGCCCGAGCGCCUUGCUUCAUUUCCAGGCGGCGUGCCUGGGCGCUCGCCUGAGCCCAGGCGUCGGGCGCUUCGGGCAAGUGCCUGGGUUAAACCAUACGAUCGAACCAUCGCUCGCCCGAGCGCAGGUGUCGGGCGCUUCGGGCAAGUGCUCGGGUUAAACCAUACAACUAAACCUGCAUUUUAGGUUUGGUUCGGUCUUCGGUGCUUUAGUUGGUUCAAUCGAACCAACUAAAGCACUUAUAUUAGCCUUUUCUUGUGACUUUCCCAACCCUAAUCUUGCUCUCCGCUCCCGCUGCCCCUGCUCGCUACCACUAUCGCCGCUCCCGCUGCUACUGCUGCCACUGUCAUCGCUCGCCUCUCUCGAUCCCACUGCCAUUGCUCGUUGCUACUGCUGUCGCUGUCGUCGCCACUAUCGUCGCUCCCGCUGUCGCUGCUCACUGCUACCACUGCCAUUGUCACCGCUCGUUGCUCUCGCUCCUGUUGCCGUUGCUCGUUGCUAUCGUUGUCGCUACUCUCAGUCACCCUCGGUCUUCCCUUACACUCUUCUCACUAUAUUGUUAACAAUAUAUUAAUAGUAUACUGCUAACUGUAUACUAAUAAUAGUAACAGUAUUUGUAUUUAUUAGAUUAAUAAUAUAUUAUUUUGAUUUUAAUACUGUUAAUUUUUAUUUAUUUGAAAUUAUUGUUAAGUUUUAGGAUAAAUGGUAUAUUUUUAUUUAAAUAAUAUAUUUAUUAAUUAUAUUAUAUAAUUUCAUAUUUUAGCGUCUCGCUUCGCUCGGGCGAGCGCCUAGUGCUUCGGACGUUUUUGGACCUUGGCGCCUAGUGCUUUUUAAAUCACUGAUUAUAGGUUGAAUCAUGUUGAUGGGAGGCAUUACAUUGUCUCUUUCUGAUGAUUGGCUCUUCUUCGACUCUAUAGGUAUAUUAUCCUGAUUUAGAGAGUUGAUUCUAAUAUUCGAAAUUAUGUAUGUCUCAGUAUAUUUCUUUGUCUUAAUUUAUGCAGAACGAAAGUAGAAUUGUUUAUACUGUGCACAUUUCUCUCUGUGUCAAUAUUAUAUCAUUAGUUUAAGAUCAUGAUACAUACAUUAAAUAAAUUGUAGAUAAUAAGAAUGUUGUUUGAAGUGUCAGUAUGAAAUCUAUCAUCUUGUACAUUUCACAUUUGGAUCUUAUGUGAAAUAUUUUCUGUAACAGGUUCAUCAUACAUUUGCUACUGCAGGCUCUGAUGGUGCUUUCAAUUUUUGGGACAAAGACAGCAAACAAAGGCUGAAGGUCUGCUCAUUCGGAGGACACUUUUUAAUUUGCACGCUCUCUUUAUUCCUUGGUUUCUGUAUUGUGCAUCCUGGACUAAAUAAUCUCACAUCAUGAUUCUUAUUAGUUGCAUAAUUCUUCUGCAUUCUUGAAGUUUUCUGGUACCAUUGUAGUUCCAUAAAUCUUUUUCUUAGUAUCUUCCACACACACCAUAGUCUCCACCUGCUACUUGUCUAUCCCUAUCCUCUAAAGUUAUAUAGUAUCAAGGAUGAUAUGCCAUCUGCUGAUAGAGUACUUGUGUAAUGCUAUAGAUAAGUAUGAACAUGCAUGUAACAAUAUUUUGAUUUGCCAAUAAAGCAAUCAUAGGCUGUCUUAAAAUGAUUAUCAUAUCCUUAUGGCCAUGAUAAACUUGGUGAAUAUGUGUGAUCAUCAAAUUUUUAGUUUGGAGAAAUCACAUUAUUGUUGAUCGAUGACUAGAUGGUCCAUUUGAUCCAUUUAAAUUUUGAAGACUGAGUUGACCUUUAUAUUCGUAUAAAUACAAAUACAUGCAUUAAUACAUGUAUAAUUUAUCAUAAUUCAAAGAUAAAUGUAAUUUAUCAUGGUGUUCUUUAAAUGGACUGAGGCAGUUCUUUAUUAAGUAGAAUGACACAUGGUGAGGAUGGCAUAUUAUAUAACCAUGCCAUGUCAUAAUGGGAUUUAUAGCUGGUUGUUCCUACCACUACCAGAAUGAUAAAAGAUCUAUUUUAUGUUUCCUGCUUUUCUGAACUGAGUGUUUUCUUGCUAAAUUUUCAAUGUCCUUUGUUAUUAAUACUAUCUUACCUAAAACCAGAUGUUAACACUUAUGGGUUUGGAUCUACUUAGGCGCUUAGCAAAAUGAUAGAUUUGACAAUUACGCUAUUUUAAUUAGUGACAUUGAUGUUGUCACGAAGGUUUGACAUCCCGGAUACCAGAACCGUGCUGGUCCAUGGUUAGACUGAUAUUGAUCCAGUCCGUGCCAACAUACUUGCAUAGUAUGCCGACAUGUAAGAUUGUACCAAGAAGGGAUGUUUCUUUUACCCAAGUUGGCGGCACUUUUAGGCUAUUUAGAACCCUAAGCCAUACUUUAAAAAAAAUUGGAUUGCCCAAAAAGGGGCAGUCGGCGUCCUGGUUUAUGCUUGGACUGAUAAAUACUGGAUGAUAUGAACCAGUCCGGGUGAAACCAUAAACUAUGAUCAAACCCAAGGUCUGCCAUACCGAAGCAUACCGCCCAUAUUGGGCGGUACGUAUCGGUCCGACAAGUUAUCGGUACGCGGAUCGCCCGGUAUCGUUACAGUGCUACAGUACUAUACUGUAGCACUGCUACAGUAUGAAAAAUAAAAAAUUAUUCGGUACACCAGGGUAUACCGCUCGGUACAUCCUGAUAUAUUGCCCGGUACACCGGUACCAUACCAUACCGAGCCCAGGUCGAAACGCUGGUACGGUACAGUACAAUGAACCUUGAUCAAAACUAUAUUAAUAAUAUACAAGUUUUAAGCUACUUGGUGUGGAGACCUUUUCUGUUGUUUCCUUUUAUUUAUACUUGUUAAAGCCAUUGCUUAAGAAGGACAGAAAUCCACCAAUAAGAAUAAAAUAAUAAUUAAAUAUUAAUCAGUGGUAAGUGUUGCAAGGGGACAGUGAAAUGUACUAAUCAGUGUGUUGCAUUGGCUGUUUUUAACAUUUUAUUUCUAUAGAAGCAUGGUGUGUUGGACAUUUUUGAGCCAGUCUACUAGCAAAACAAGUGUUAUUGCUUUUAUUAGUUCAUGAUUUCCAAAUCUGAUAGAUUUAUAGGAAAUAGAGGUAUUUCUUAAUCUAACAGUGGAAAACAUUAUUUGAAUUCACUUGGUUGAUUGAUCGAAAAGAAUAAAUUUGUAAAUUAUAUGAGUUGUGAAGCAUUUUCUAGUCUGCCUGUAGUUCAUCCGUAUGAGUUAUAAGGUUUAAUUUAACUGUAUUUGUAGCUAGUUACAGAAGUUUGUGAAAUCAUUUUUCUAUGUACUUAAUUACUUGAUGCACGUCUUUUCACAAAUCUGCAUGUUUUUUAUUUAUUUCAUGCCUUUGGUUCCUUUAAGAUAUUGAUAUAAGACAAUUUUCUCAUUCAUUUUUUGUAAUGGUGUUACCAAUAUUAUCCUCAUUCCUCCGUCGAGUCUUCCAAUCUUGAUUGGUUGUCCAAAUAGAAUAAAUUUCAUUAUAUUGUUCCACGAAGUAUACAGUGUGUUUAGGUAAUAAUAAUGAAUCAUACCUUUUCUUGAACAGGCAAUGGCUAGGUGCCCACAUCCUAUCCCUUGCAGUACUUUCAACCAUGAUGGUUCCAUUUUUGCCUAUGCUGUAAGUGGUAUAUCAUGUUUUUCUACCAAUGUUUUUGAGACAAGGAAGUAUAUCUUUUGAGUAGUUAUUGUAAUGAUUGCAUUUGGUUGUUCUUCAUGCAAUAUUUUUCGUAUUAUGUCUUUAUGAAAGUGCAUCAAGAUUGUGAUCUAAUAUUUUGCAAGUAUAUAAUUAUUACAUGGUCUAAAAUGCUUAAAAUUAGGUCCAGCAAGUGCAUCUUACAUUACGUGGACUAAUCUGGUCAUCACAAUCUGUCAUACAAAUGGCUUGAAGCUCAACAUAUUACCCAGGAAUAUUCUUUAGUCGGCAUGCCCAAUUGUUGGCUCUAUGCCAUGAUAUGCUUCUUGCAUUGUUCCUUAGUAGUGAUUUCCUAAUUGGGUUCACCAAUCACAUGUAUAAUUCUACUCCAAUUUGAUGUAAAUUGUCAAACAAAGCUCCAUAGGCCCAUUGACCCAAGAACUCAAUAGAACAAGGUUUUAACCAUGUGGUUCAAUUACUUGAGCCUGGGUUUGUGAAAGUAAGUCCAUCCUAUCUAUCAAACCACUAAGGUUGAUCUUGAGGACUACUUAGUAUGGAUUUUGAUUUUUAGUUGACAUGUCUGUAGCAGUAGUGCUCGGAAGGGUACUCCAUUUAUUAUUAUCAUAAAAUUCUCUACCUUAAUGAUUCUUGAGGCUAAUAUUCCUACCAAUGGUUGUUGGCUCUAUUGAUUCUUUUCUUUAAUCAUUAAUGGGUUAAUAUCCCAAAUCAUCGAAGAUCAUCAUGUUCUUAUACCCUAAAAAGGGCAGUCUGAUGCACAUGAAGCUCCCACAGAUGCAGAGUAUAGGAAGAGUUAAUGUAUUUAUCCUCCUUGUAAAUGCUGUUCCUAUCAAAUUUUAUUUGGACAUCUUUCAGGUGUGCAGCCUCAUUCUCUUCAUAUACUUAUUAUCCACCAUACCAACUUUUGGGUAUACUGAGCCUAAAUUGAGAAUAUACCUGGUCUCGUAGCCAGCUGAGAAGUUCCUCUCCAGUAAGGGAGAUGAUAAAAGUUCCUCGCCAGUUAAUGAGGCUGUACUUGAUGUGCUCUGUACUCUUUCUGAAAUUUAAUGAAAUUAACUAUUACAAACCUUAAUUAAUUUUAACAAUCCUAUGAAAUAACUUAUUUGUUGUGGCACUGCCUGUUUAACUACCUGUCUAAAUUUGCAAACAUUUGGAUGUCCUGAGUGUUGAUCAUAGAGUAUUCUGAGCUACAAGAUGUGAUAAUAUUCAACCGAUGCAGGUCUGUUAUGACUGGAGCAAAGGUGCUGAAAAUCAUAAUCCAGCUACAGCAAAGACAUACAUCUACCUUCAUAGCCCUCAGGUCAGUAUUAGAUUCAGUUUUGAGACCUCUUUCGUCCCUUCAAUCAUUCAAACCUGUCUAUGCUAAGACUAUUGUUAUCGCAUCUCAUCCACUGUGAUUAUUUACAAUAGUCUUUAUACAUGUGGCGGUGGCUAUUCCCUUUCAUGCACGAGUUCUUGCAUAGAUGUCUUCGUGUGCUCUGUACAUAAUAUGUGUUCCGCAAACUUGCAUCAAUCGACCUAGCAAUUAUAUUGUUUUUCCAACAUGACAAAUUACCAUAAAAGAAGAAAGUUUAGAUAACAUGCUGCGGAAUGUUGGAGGAAUUUUUUAAUGCUGCUGACAUAUGCACCCCCUUUGAUUUUCAAAACAGGAAUCCGAGGUAAAAGCAAAGCCACGUCUUGGAACUGGAAGUAGAAAGUGAACCUUUCAAGUCCUCGAGCUACAUUGGUUUUUUUGUCGGCCGUGCUGUGUAUCUGUUUGCUUUCUGCACGCUUAGUAUCUGUCAUGUUUUUUAAAUACAUAUGGUGGUGAAUACUCCGGUGCUUUAGUAACUAGUGAACUUUUUGGUUCUUAUUGAUUUAGGAGCUUCACAUUUGUAUGUACAUCUCAUCAUAAAAGAUGACAGGCCGCAUGUGAAAGAAUCAGUCAUCAGUUCUAGCAGUGAUCAAUUUAGCUCAUUCUCCUACCUGUAAUCUAUGUAUCUAAAUGCUUGAUUGCUGAUAGUUAUGCUUAGUCACCAAGCAAAACACUGUCAACAUUAAACUUUUCAAUUAUGAUAUGAGGGAUGAGAUUUUUUGGGGUUCAGGUCUUGCUUAUCCGUGAAAACUGGGUUUGGGUUUGGGUUUGAUGGAAUAGUUGGGUUCCAAGUCCUUUUAGUUGGGUCAGGUUUAGGUGAAGUGAAAUUUAAGGGUGCUCCAUUUGCAUUAUAACAUGAA